rnacentral:lncRNA from 1 species
AGCCUCUCGAGGGAUGAAGUUAGUUGGGAUAUUUUCUUCUCUCUCCAUCCACGUACACAAAAUGCAGCCUUUUACAUACAUAAACAGGCGCGAUCCUUUUAUUUACCUCCUCCUAAGAAUAAUUAGAUCCCCCUCUCCAUCUCCCUCCCUCUCUCUGUUAUUCUCCAUCUCCAUGUUCUCUCGUCUUCCUGAUUAAGUUGCUUUCUUACCUCGAGGGGCUUAAACUUCCGAGUGUAGUAGUUAGUUUCAAGAUUAUGGACUGGCUUUGAUUUCUAUCGGUAAACGAGCAUUCCUUAUGCACACACAUGUUUCAGUAAUUAUUUUUGUUUUUAUAACUUCUUGGUUUUUUUGUUGUGUGAUGGAUUAUUGUUACCUGACUUUAUAUUGAUCUGUGUAUUGAGGUUCUUAUAUCAAUUUCCUAGCAUAUCUCGCAAUUGUACAUGGUUUGACGUUUUCUAGGUUUUUUUUAAUCACUGUUUUUUCUUUGCUUGACAUGGUCUAGGGUUUAUUUUUUCCUUUGUACAAAGGAAUUGUUACAACAUAGUGGUUCCGGGAGCUCUAUUCAUGUAAGUGUUUAGCGGCGUGUCCUAAUUUGUGGUGUUGGCUCAAGACACAGCGAUGAGAGAGGGGUUUCCUCAGGUUAUGUGAGUGGGUGUAAUUGAGUUUUUGGAUUGAGCUCGGAAAUUACUCAAUGAUUGUGUUGUGUUGUUUUUAUCCCUAACAGUGAAGAAAUUUUUUCUCUAUGUACAGGCUGGCAGGAUUUUACCAAUUCAAUUAAAUCUUGUGCUCGCACUCAUAUUGCUGUCUUCAUUUUCUUCAUUUUUCUAUUAAUUCGGUUUGCUCAUUAACUUGUUUUGUGCGAUACUGAUUACUUUAACAAGUGGUGGUGGAGACAACCCUUUGGAUUGGAUGCAAUCGAAACUAGUGCUUGCUUGAUUUAGUUUGAGAUUCAAUACAUGGUUAAGAAAUUUAAUUGAAGAAAAUGAAGAUGACAGAAAACAAGUAGAAGAUGAGGGGAUUUGGCCCUUUCACUUCUUACUUUGAUUUGUGCUUUAUAUUUGACGAUUAAAGGAUAUGAUCACUCGAUAAGGUUUCUAAGCAUAGAAGGUUCAUACGUGAAACAAGUCUUUAAAUCCAUAAAAGAUGCCGGCACUUUGUUCAAGGUUGUUUGAUUAUGCUUGUGUUGCCAUACAAUCCUAGUGGAGGGGGAAAAGAGUUUUGUUGUCUGGUAUACCUAGAGGAGUGGAGGAGAAUAAAGCCUGUGCUAAUGGUUACUUAGAGUUUUUUAUGGUCGGAGACUGCCUGAGUAGAGUGACAUAUUCUCGAUGAGUUGACGGAAACUUCUGUCAAGAGAUGGUAAAUAGAGGUACCCUUCUGAAUUUUACUAGGAAAGCUGAUUUAUUGAGUUAUACAUCAGCGUUGCUAUGUUUUCAUAUUGGAUGGAGUCAUGAUUGUCUGCUGAUUUGGUAAUGUUUAGCUGGUAAAUGACUGUAAAUGGUGUUUAAAGUUGUAGUUAUCGAUGGUUCUGGGUGCUGCCAUGGCCACGUUCAAUGUUUCUUUCUCCCUCCUUUUAAUGGUUGCUUUAAUAACCAUAAAGUACAGAAGGGAAAUUUCAGGUUUCAUUUUAAUGUGUGACUUCUCAAUUAAUAGAGAAAUUUUUAUUGGGAUUAUACAUUUGUAUCACCACUUACUCCAUCUCAACAGAAUGGACUAUGAUUUCUUGCUCUCCUGAUUUUAUCUCUAAGAUAUGAUUUGCUGUAGGCUCACUGUGUCUUUUUUCUCCUGCUUCUUGUAGUAAAGGUAGAGUUUUCUUUCUUUUCUUUAAUUUUUCUGCCUAACCUAAUGGUUGCUAUUCUUUCAAUGCUCAAGGACA